UUUUAUGGAGAGUUUGAUCCUGGCUCAGGAUGAACGCUGGCGGCGUGCCUAAUACAUGCAAGUCGAGCGAACGGACGAGAAGCUUGCUUCUCUGAUGUUAGCGGCGGACGGGUGAGUAACACGUGGAUAACCUACCUAUAAGACUGGGAUAACUUCGGGAAACCGGAGCUAAUACCGGAUAAUAUUUUGAACCGCAUGGUUCAAAAGUGAAAGACGGUCUUGCUGUCACUUAUAGAUGGAUCCGCGCUGCAUUAGCUAGUUGGUAAGGUAACGGCUUACCAAGGCAACGAUGCAUA
rnacentral:rRNA from 1 species